GCACUAGGAGGGAGUGAUUAGGUCAUGAGGGCGGAGCCUUCCUGAUGCGAUGAGUGUCCACACAGAAGAGACUGCAGAAAUCCCUCGCCCUCCACCAUGUGAGGACCCAUCGGUGCUGGCUGUGACCCAGGAAGGCUCUCAGCAGACACCGAGUCUGCCGGCACCUCCAUCUUGGACUUCACAGCCUUCAGAACUUGACCAGCCAACUCCGCCCUCGCCGGCAGAGACACCAACCCACCCGAAUUAGAUGAAAAUAAAGCCAAGAGACAAGGUGGGUUGUUUUGCCUUAAAACUUCAAUAUGCUGGAUUGUGGCGUGAGGUAUUUUUAUUCCCUUUUGUUAGUACUUAAAACCAUCUGGUACACAUUGUAAGGCAAAUGAUUAACACGUCUCAAGCUACUCGUCCAUUUGUACAUUGCCGAUUCCACUCUGUCAGUCACAGCUCCACGGAGUUGGGGUGGUCCUGCGUGUCUUAGGUGAGGGCUUUCCCAGCGGUGGUGCAGGACGGGGAGGACUGUGUUGAUUGGCCGCCCCUCUGGACUGCGUCAGAAAGGGCAGAAAGGGCUUAAGAACACUGGGGAAUAGCAGCCACCGCUCUCACAGAGAAUAGGCAAACAGGUUUUGACUAGUGGGCCCAGCAUUACUGGAAACCAUGUUCCCUGUGUUGUCCGACUGUCAAGGUUGUGCAAUGUCAUACUGUCCUACCCCGUACCUGGGGGAAUGAGUAUAAAAAAGGAAAAAGAAUGUUUUUUGAAGACAGGCACAAUAUAUACUACUAUUGAAUGCGCAGUUCCGAACCACAGUUGAGUAGGCUAUAGAUAGGUAUGACGAUGGGUGCCGGGGGACUACACACCAUCCUUCAUGGUGCUUUUACACCCACAGAAGCUCACAAAUUCCGUAACGUAACAUCACAAAUGGCCCUGAUUACUGAUAUACAGGUUUUCAUGCUUGUGAAACAGACAGCAAAACACCCACAGCUUAAUAUCUUCCCAUUGUAUAUACCACUCACGCACAGUACAGUGAUAGUCUAGACAUCGCACUGGACUUCUGCUUCUCUUAGCAGAAAACAACCUGCUACGGUUUGUAAAUAGUCAUCACUUGAACAAUUUGGUCAGCUUGCACCAGGAAGUGGGUCUGGGAGCCAGCGUCUCACUGGAGCACGAGACCCCAGGGUGGCACGUAGUGUGCGGCAAAUCGCUUACUAAUCAAAGGAGUAACUUCCUAUUAUUAUAAAAGUAGAAAGAUU